rnacentral:rRNA from 1 species
UACGUAGGGUGCAAGCGUUGUCCGGAAUUACUGGGCGUAAAGGGCGCGUAGGCGGCCUGUCAAGUCAACUGUGAAAUCUCCGGGCUUAACUCGGAACGGUCAGUUGAUACUGUCAGGCUAGAGUGCAGAAGGGGCAAUCGGAAUUCUUGGUGUAGCGGUGAAAUGCGUAGAUAUCAAGAGGAACACCUGAGGUGAAGACGGGUUGCUGGGCUGACACUGACGCUGAGGCGCGAAAGCCAGGGGAGCAAACGGG